CCCUUAGAUGUUCUGGGCUGCACGCGCGCUACACUGAUGCAUCCAACAAGUUUUUUCCUUGUUCGAGAGGACUAGGUAAUCUUAUGAGAAUGCAUCGUGAUGGGGAUAGAUUAUUGCAAUUAUUAAUCUUCAACGAGGAAUUCCUAGUAAGCGCGAGUCAUCAGCUCGUGCUGAUUACGUCCCUGCCCUUUGUACACACCGCCCGUCGCUGCAACUGAUUGGGCGACCUGGUGAACAUCUUGGACCGGCCCACUCAAUUUCGAGAGGACUGGAAAAGGCCGUAAAUCAGGUACAUCUAGAAAUUGCAAAAGUCGUAACA
rnacentral:rRNA from 1 species